AGAUUUGAGCAGAUUUGGACUCUGUGUAAGCGCAAGACCCGACGGCUGCUCUGAUGCUGCUUUGCCUAUUGCACCGCUGGUGGAGCUCUUAGAAGAAUAGAUAAGGAAGACACAUAGUGUACAAAUCUUGGGAAUCCCAGAGGAGAAGGAAGUGGGGACAGAAUUGAAAGCAGAAGGAGGUUUGCCAGCACAAGCUGUCUCUGCUCUAGAACCAGCUGCCUGCUUCAGGACACCUUGUUACCCCCCUAGCAACGCUCUCCUCACGCCGCAGUGUUAGCAUCAUCCCCGCUUGUCCCAGUGAGCUGGGAGCACCUUGCACGUCCUCGGUAAGCACAAGUUUGUCUGGCCGGUUUGCUGUUCCCUUUCACUUCCAGUAUGC